GAAUGCUAAACUGCACAGAUAAGCAAAAAGGUGGCAAAAUACUAACUACCUACUAUACAGUUUUCCUGUCAAACCAUUGCAGCAUAUAGGUUGAGACAGCAAUUUUAUGUAAAAUCUGUUGGGUUUGUAAUUGUUUGUGAAGAAGGAGGGAGCAAGCUUUCUUUAAGCUUUUCAUGCAUUAGAAUAUUCAGAUUCGGCAAAAUAGUUAAGUAACAAAAGUUUUUGAACAACUGUCAGUGGUAAAAUAAUGGCAAUGUAUUUGUUUUCCUGUGAGGAAAACAAACACAAGAACACAGUUAAGAGUGAUAGGUGGAAGCAAAUGUGAAACUCCUUCAGAUACAUCUAUUUUAGACUUCAUGAUUGAUGCUGCCUCCUUUACAUUUAAUUAUUAAAUCAUUAAUCCUCAGAGUUUCUCUUUGAAAUAUGCAUUACUUAAUGUUAAGAAACUGAGGCAAUAUGAGGCUGAAUACAAAAUUCCAAAGGCAGAGGGCUUGAAAAUUCUGAUCUCUAAAGAGGGUAGCUCUAAAGAGGGCAGAAUUUUCAAUGGGGGUGUGAAACAUCUCUCAUUGCAGUGACAAUACAAAUGGUACUAAAUCUAGAAUGGCAAAGUGGGAGAUAGUAGGGUGCUAGUUGAAUCCAGUAACAGAUGUAUUGUAGGAGGUGAUCUGGUGGGACAUGGGUCACAGUUAGAGGCAGAUGCCAUGCAACCAUAGCAGGGCCUGCUUCAGAUUGAGGGGGCCUUCAGCAAAAAUACUCUGCCCUCCACUGGGUCCACUUCCAGACCCUCUCUAAGAUUCAAGAUUUCCUGCCUGCCUGCCUCCUUCUCUGGAGUUCCUGUUUGGAGCCGCUGGCUGGCAAGGCAUUGGGGGUGUGUGUGCAAUAUGGCAGCUUCUAGUCAAAUUGCAUCCAAGCUCUAUACUUCCCAAGGGGUCCAAGGACAGAUGUCAAUGCAUGGAACUGGCCCUUUUCACAGCUGCCACACAUUGAGUCAACACAUUCAACAGGCUGUUCGUCACGAUCCCAAGAUUUCUCUCCUGGCUUGCUGUAGAGAAAGAGACUGAGGGACAGGAAUUCUGACAAUAGACUUUAAGAGCGAGAAAAGAAGGUUCUGAGUAGAAGCUAGAUUUCUAGAGAGAAGAAAUUUAUCAAGUAUCUGUGAUAGAAAGUUCUGAUUGAAUGGCGAAGAGGGUGGCAGCUUUCUGCUAUUGAUCUGCUAUCGUGGGACCAGCAUUUAGACUGAGGCCUGAAAUUGCAGACAGGCCUGGGAUCUGCUUAAUUAUCUAUCUUGUGGAAUACAAACCCU